rnacentral:rRNA from 1 species
AUGAGGAUUAUUUCCUGGAAUUGUCGCGGGAUUGGUGACCCCUCGACAGUUCGCGAGCUCAAAGAGCUCAUUCGGGAGUGUGCGCUGGAGGUUGUAUGUUUGCUUGAGACCCAGCUUUUUAAGCAGAGGGUGGAGGGGCUGACUAGUUUGCUUGGUUAUGAUGGUGGCUAUGCAGUUGGAAGCAGUGGGAGAAGUGGAGGUUUAGCUAUGUUUUGGAAGAAUCCAAUAAGUAUGCGGUUGCUGAACUACUCUAAAUACCACAUCGAUAUGAUUGUUUCAGAGCCAGGCAAAGAGGAAUGGAGACUUACUUGCUUCUAUGGAGAGGCAAACAGGAACUUGAGGCAAAACACAUGGGACAUGAUAACAUUUUUGAGGGGUGAAUCCACAUUACCAUGGGCUUGUAUUAGUGACUUCAAUGAGAUCCUUAGGAAGGAGGAGCAACUUGGCCCCAAUGAACGAGAUUCUGCUCAAAUGGCAGGUUUUCGGGAGGCAGUUGAUAUUUGUAAAUUAUGUGAUCUUGGGUAUGUUGGCAUUCACUGGAGUUGGGAGAAAAGGGUAGCCGGCGGACACUUCUGCCGGGUUCGGUUGGACAGGACGUUGGCAACUGCAAGCUGGAGCGCCCUAUUCCCUUUUGCGUCAGUGAGACACCUUGUCGCUGCAAAAUCAGAUCACUCGUCAAUAAUAUUGUUUAGUGAUUUGGACCCUGCUAAUAGGAGGAUUGCAUUGGAUCGGCCUUUUCGUUAUGAGCAGAUGUGGGAGACCCAUGAUGAAUAUUUUCCGAUGCUUGAGUAG